GUGCUCGUGCAUUCGCGCUUAGAGCACACUGCUUCAAGGGGGAAUCGUGACAGAACCCCAUCCCCAAAGGAGUCAUCCCAUUUAAUUGGCGGACCCGGCCCCCUGGACUGAAUGUCCCAGGCAGAGCCAGGAAACUGCACGGUGUUCUUGGCGGCGCAGGGCAGCGGAGCGACGUCCUCGGCGUAGCAGGGAAGCAGAGCGACAUCCACAGCCGGGCAGGCAGACUGAGCAAAGUCCUUGGCGGAGCAUGAAGGCAGAGCGACGACCACAGCAGGGCAGGCGGGCUGAGCAAAGUCCUCGGCGGAGCAUGAAGGCAGAGCGACGUCCUCGGCGGAGCAUGAAGGCAGAGCGACAUCCACAGCCGGGCAGGUAGGCUGAGCAAAGUCCUUGGCGGAGCAUGAAGGCAGAGCAACGUCCUCAGUGGAGCAUGAAGGCAGAGCGACGUCCUCGGCGGAGCAUGAAGGCAGAGCGACGUCCUCGGCGGAGCAUGAAGGCAGAGCGACGUCCACAGCCGGGCAGGCAGGCUGAGCGAAGUCCUCGGCGGAGCUUGAAGGCAGAGCGACAACCACAGCAGGGCCGGCAGACUGAGCGAAGUCCUCGGCGGAGCAUGAAAGCUGAGCGACGACCUCAGCUGAACAGGGGGGCUGAGCGAUGACCUCAGCUGAACAGGCGAGCUGAGCGACGACCUCAGCUGAACAGGCGGGCUGAGCGACGUCCUCAGCUGAACAGGCGGGCUGAGCGACGUCCUCAGCUGAACAGGCGGGCUGAGCGACGUCCUCAGCUGAACAGGCGGGCUGAGCGAGCGACGUCCUCAGCUGAACAGGGAGGCUGAGGCUCUGAGGUCACCAGGUGAACCUUGGGCAUGGGCGGAGCUUGGCUGGCCGUGUCAGCAGACUGUGGCGCGGGCGGAGCUUGGCUGGCCGUGUCAGCAGACUCGGGCGUGAGCAGAACUUGGGUGGCCGUGUCAGCAGACUCGGGCGUGAGCAGAACUUGGGUGGCCGUGUCAGCAGACUCGGGCGUGAGCAGAACUUGGGUGGCCGUAUCAGCAGACUCGGGCGUGAGCAGAGCUUGGCUGGCCGUGUCAGCAGACUCGGGCGUGAGCAGAGCUUGGUCGUUAGGCUUAGAUAUUAGCAGAGCUUGGUCAACUGGAUCAGCAGUCUUGAACGUGAGCUCAGGGACGUGAGACUUGGCUUGGACUUCAGAGCCUGGAGGCUUGACUUGGACGUCAGAGCCUGGAGGCUUGACUUGGAUCUCAGGGACUGGAGGCUUGACUUGGAUCUCAGGGACUGGAGGCUUGGCUUGGACCUCAGAGCCUGGAGGCUUGGCUUGGACCUCAGAGCCUGGAGGCUUGGCUUGGACCUCAGAGCCUGGAGGCUUGGCCUGGACCUCAGAGCCUGGAGGCUUGGCCUGGACGUCAGAGCCUGGAGGCUUGGCCUGGACGUCAGAGCCUGGAGGCUUGGCUUGGACGUCAGAGCCUGGAGGCUUGGCUUAGACUUGGAUUUCAGGGACUUGAGACUUGGCUUGGACUUCAGAGACUGGAGGCUUGACUUGGACCUCAGGGACUGGAGGCUUGACCUGGACCUCAGGGACUGGAGGCUUGACUGGGAUUUCGGGGACUGGAGGCUUGACUGGGAUUUCGGGGACUGGAGGCUUGACUGGGAUUUCAGAGUUGAGCUCUGCAUGAAUUUGCC
ensembl:lncRNA